rnacentral:rRNA from 1 species
CCAUCGGGGUACACGAGCGGCGAACGGGUGAGUAACACGUGGGUGAUCUGCCUUGCACUUCGGGAUAAGCCUGGGAAACUGGGUCUAAUACCGGAUAUGACCUCGAAUUGCAUGGUCUGGGGUGGAAAGAUUUAUCGGUGCGAGAUGGGCCCGCGGCCUAUCAGCUUGUUGGUGAGGUAACGGCUCACCAAGGCGACGACGGGUAGCCGACCUGAGAGGGUGACCGGCCACACUGGGACUGAGACACGGCCCAGACUCCUACGGGAGGCAGCAGUGGGGAAUAUUGCACAAUGGGCGCAAGCCUGAUGCAGCGACGCCGCGUGCGGGAUGACGGCCUUCGGGUUGUAAACCGCUUUUGACAGGGACGAAGCGCAAGUGACUGUACCUGUAGAAUAAGGACCGGCCAACUACGUGCCAGCAGCCGCGGUAAUACGUAGGGUCCGAGCGUUGUCCGGAAUUACUGGGCGUAAAGAGCUUGUAGGCGGUUCGUCGCGUCGUUUGUGAAAACUUGGGGCUCAACCUUAAGCUUGCAGGCGAUACGGGCGGACUAGAGUACUUCAGGGGAGACUGGAAUUCCUGGUGUAGCGGUGAAAUGCGCAGAUAUCAGGAGGAACACCGGUGGCGAAGGCGGGUCUCUGGGAAGUAACUGACGCUGAGAAGCGAAAGCAUGGGUAGCAAACAGGAUUAGAUACCCUGGUAGUCCAUGCCGUAAACGGUGGGUACUAGGUGUGGGGCUCCUUCCACGGACUCCGUGCCGUAGCUAACGCAUUAAGUACCCCGCCUGGGGAGUACGGCCGCAAGGCUAAAACUCAAAGAAAUUGACGGGGGCCCGCACAAGCGGCGGAGCAUGUGGAUUAAUUCGAUGCAACGCGAAGAACCUUACCUGGGUUUGACAUACACCGGAAACCUGCAGAGAUGUAGGCCCCCUUGUGGUCGGUGUACAGGUGGUGCAUGGCUGUCGUCAGCUCGUGUCGUGAGAUGUUGGGUUAAGUCCCGCAACGAGCGCAACCCUUAUCUUAUGUUGCCAGCGCGUAAUGGCGGGGACUCGUGAGAGACUGCCGGGGUCAACUCGGAGGAAGGUGGGGACGACGUCAAGUCAUCAUGCCCCUUAUGUCCAGGGCUUCACACAUGCUACAAUGGCCGGUACAGAGGGCUGCGAUACCGCGAGGUGGAGCGAAUCCCUUAAAGCCGGUCUCAGUUCGGAUCGGGGUCUGCAACUCGACCCCG